rnacentral:rRNA from 1 species
GUGCCAGCAGCCGCGGUAAUACGGAGGAUGCGAGCGUUAUCCGGAUUUAUUGGGUUUAAAGGGUGCGUAGGCGGCCUGUUAAGUCAGCGGUGAAAUCUAGGGGCUUAACUCCUAAAUUGCCAUUGAUACUGGUGGGCUUGAGUGUAGAUGAGGUAGGCGGAAUGCGUGGUGUAGCGGUGGAAUGCAUAGAUAUCACGCAGAACUCCAAUUGCGAAGGCAGCUUACUAAGGUACAACUGACGCUGAAGCACGAAAGCGUGGGUAUCANACAGGAUUAGAUACCCUGGUAGUCC